CUCGCGUGCACGCCACGCGCGUCGGCCAAUCGCAGGCCUCCGCGUGGCCCCUGCCACGUAGUCCACAUACCCCGGAGUCUACCGCGUAUCCGUCUCUUCCUCUUCAGCUGUCGACCUUAGCCACUGGCAGGUGGCCCCGGGCACGCCUUUCCUCGUCGGUCUUGAAUCGGAGACCGAGCCGGUUUCCGAAUCUCGAGGCGGCGCCAGACAAAUAGCCACCGCCCAACGGCCCAGGCGAACCGGCCCGACUAGAGAGACCCUGCGUCCUCCAUCCUGCGCCGCAAUUCGCCCAAGCGACUUCGCGCGACUCCUUUCGCUUCCUCCUCCUCCUCCGGAUUGCGGCGCGACGGUGGCCGUGAGCGCGCGGUGCUCCUACUCCUCCUCCACGGCCUUGCGCCCAGAUCCGGGCCCCAAUGUCGAGGAACCCGGCCUGCAGCGUCUACGUAGGCAACUUGGAUGAGAAGGUGCCUGAAAGAGUCUUGUAUGAGAUUCUUAUUCAGGCAGGUCAUGUAGUAGACCUAUACAUACCAUGUGACAAAGAAACUGAGCGCCCUAAAGGUUUUGCUUUUGCUGAGUAUGAGACAGAGGCAAUUGCUCAGUAUGCUGUUAAACUUUUUUCAGGACUUGUUAGGCUUAAUGGUAAAACACUUAAAUUUGCGGUAUGUUUCUUCUUUUGUAAUCUUCAAAAAAGAUAUGUUAUGUCUGAACUAUCAUUACCUUGCAAAUUAUUUCUGGUUAUAAAUUGCAGUUUGCCUAGUUGGAGCACAGUAAUUGUUGCCCUUCUUAUAACCGUGUAUACAUAUGUGUGUUUUGUGCUAAUAUAAACAAGGUCAAAUCCCUAAAUUCGUAUUAAUUUUGACAGCUUUCUGGACAAGACAAGCCCUCAUCAAAUGGCAAUAAUCCAGUAAUGCCUAAACUCAACCCUGUACCAUUACCAAAGCAGCCUCAGUUUGUGCAUUCUAGUGAUACGCUUGUGUCGCAUAAACCAGCAUAUCCGGUGGUAAAUGGUGGGAUUCCACAUAAUGGCUUUUCACAAGGCUAUCAUCCUUACAAUGUUCACCCUCAAGCAUUACCACCUCGACCGGUGCAUGAGCACCGAGAAUUUGUACAUGGUACGUAUGGUUACAACAGUCAUGCAUAUGGUUCUGUUCUGAAUGCUAGCUACGGAGGUUAUGUUGUGAAUGCUGUUGGUCAUGGAGCUAUGAGGCAACCAAUCAUUUACCCAUCCUACUAGGUUGUAGUCACCAAAGAGCGGGAGCGGGUAUGCAAAGUAUGCAGGUUAAAUGUAGCUUCUUAGUUCCUUGAAUUCUCAGUAGCAUCUUGUUUGUACCCUUGCACUUCAUUUCCAUGCAUGUAAAUAGGGCUGGUAUAUCCAUUAUAUCAACAGUAAGUUGGCAACGGAAGGCUCUGCCCAGUACAUUGUACACCCUUUGUACUUGUCUAGAAGAUAGACUGCUAGAUCUGUUCUCUUGGAAAAUAAAGAAAUGCAAUAGCUUGGGCUGUUGCAACCCUGCCGACUCAUGUAUUAAUGAUCAUAUGCGUGGAUGAUUUGAGUUAUUCCUAAAGUGCCUUGUCGUGUACUCGAAUGAUCAUUGCUGUUACGUACCCAGAAGAUGUUGAUAUCUCAGCUCCGGGGUCCCAUAUAAUCAUAAGUUCAAGUAAACUGUCCUGUGUUUGUGUCCCUAUCUAUCACAGAAUUUAACCCCAUCAGGGACAACUAAAUUUCUGGAAUGCAAUAGCACCCACCAAUCCUGCUUUGUUUGUGAUUUCUGUGCUUAGGUGUCAUUGCUUGGCUGGUAUAUCCGAUUUGUU
rnacentral:rRNA from 1 species